AAUUUUUUUUUAAAGAAACAAAAGAGAAUUUACCAUUAAGAACAUAAUAAUGCUACAUGGAGACACAGGUAAUGCUUGCAUCACAGCACAUUUUUUGCAGUGGUGACAAUGAGACCUGUAACAUUU